CAGAACUGAGCUGUGACUGACACUGGUUGUGCCUCUGUGAGAUCCAACUUAAGAAAAGCUUUUGUGCAGCUGCAGCCGGGAGAAAGGAGGGAACAAAUGUAGACAGCAAUAACUCUGCAUUCACCAAGGCCAGUGAGGAUGGAGGGGGAGGAGGUACUCCAGGCAUUGGAAGAGAAGUUCCUCUGCAGCCUGUGGAGAUGCUCAUGGUGCAGCAGGCUAUCCCCUGCAGCCCACGGGGUACCACACAGAGCAGAUCUCCAUGUGCAGCCCAUGGAGGAUCCCACUCAGGAUCAGGUUCCUGUCUGAACCAGGAUUUGGAGAGAAGCCUGUGGUGUAGCAGGUGAUCUGGUGAGAGCUGUGCCUAUGGGAGACAUGCUGAAAAAGUCCAUUCCUGGUGGACUUGUGGACUGUCUUGUGGACCCACAUUAGAGCAGUUCUUGAAAAACUGAAGCUUGUGAAAAGCCCACGUAAGACCAAGAGGAGACAGGCUGCAUCUCGUGGGAGGGACCUCCUCGCUGGAGCAGUAGAAGAGAGCAGGAAAGAAGGAGGAGCAGUGACACAGUGUUACAGACUGACUGCAAUCUCUUUUCCUGUUUUCAGACGGGACAGAGUUGAUUUUCUUCAUAGUGUCUGGUAUGAUAUGAUGUUGUGUCUUUAGGAGAAAAGCAGUGCUGGUAACACAUUGAUGUUUUAGUUGUUGCUGAUCAGUACUGUACAGAGCCAAGGACAUUUCAGCUCUUCAGCUUCUCCUGCUGUCCUACCAGCAAGGGAAUGGGGGGAUGGAGGGAGCUGGGAGGGGACAGAACCAAGGAGCUGAUCUGAACUGGCCAAAGGGAUAUUCCAUACCAUGUGAUGUUAUGUAAAUACACUCUAAAACUGAGGGGAGUUGGCCAAUGUGGAUGCAGCUGCUCAGGAACUGGCUGGGCAUCUAUGAUUGGGUGCUGGAGGGAUCUUACUCCCCUGACUUCUACCUAGAGGCUCAGAGACGUGAGAGACAUGGGAAGCCUGACUGCCAGUGAAGACCAAGGCAAACAAGUAGACUGGAGGUGCACAAAAGGUUUGGAGGGGAAAGAGCAAGUACAGCUAAUCCAGACUGACCAAAGGCAUAUUUCAAACGAUAUGGCUAUGACAUCAUGCUCAACAAUAAAAGCUGGAGUAAGAGUAAAGAAGGAGGAAGGUGGAGGGAACUUUUCAAGAAACAAGAAGCUGUUGCAUAUGAUGGAACCCUCCUAACCUGCAAAUGGCUGAAAAUCUACCUAUCA
ensembl:lncRNA